UGAACCGGUUAUAUAAGGAGCUAUCUCUGGCAGCUGGGUUCUAUCUGCAUUGGGAUUAGAGCCUGUCCAGUUGCUUAAAGAAACAAGAUCUCCUGUACAGGCGCGGAGACUGUCCAGAGCGCCCUGGGGUCUGUGUGGUCCCGGCCAUGGCCAUGUGUUUUCCUGUCUGCAGAAACUGGAAGCUGGGGCGUAAGGACUCAAUGGGCGAUUUUUCGCAGCUCGCCAGACAGGACUACGAGGCCCUGAAGGAAAGGUGCCUGAGGGACGGCUGUCUCUUUGAGGACAAGAGCUUCCCGGCCGCCCUGAGCUCCAUCGGCAGCGGGCCCCUGCUGCAGAAGCUGCCGAGCCACCUGCAGUGGAGGCGGCCUCCGGAGCUGCACAGCAACCCCCUUUUCUACUCUGCCAAGGCCAAACGGCUGGAUCUGUGCCAGGGAUUGGUAGGUGACUGCUGGUUCUUGGCGGCUUUGCAAGCUCUGAGUUUGCACCAGGACAUCCUGAGUCGUGUUGUUCCCCUAAAUCAGAGUUUCACAAAGAAGUAUGCUGGCAUCUUCCAGUUCUGGUUCUGGCACUUUGGAAAGUGGGUUCCGGUUGUGGUAGAUGACCGACUACCUGUGAAUGAAGCUGGCCAGCUGGUCUUUGUCUCUUCUACCUACAAGAACUUGUUCUGGGGAGCUCUUCUGGAAAAGGCCUAUGCUAAGCUCUCUGGCUCCUAUGAAGACUUGCAGCGUGGCCAGGUGUCUGAAGCCCUUGUGGACUUCACUGGAGGGGUGACAAUGACCAUCAAGCUGGCAGAAGCCCCUGACAGCCUCUGGGAUGUCCUAACCCGAGCCACCUACAGCAGAACCCUGAUUGGCUGCCAGACCCACUAUGGGAAGGAGCGGGUGCUGGAGAAUGGGUUGGUGGAUGGCCAUGCCUAUACACUCACAGGCCUCAGGAAGGUGACCACCAGACAUGGACCUGAGUAUCUCGUCAGGCUCCGGAACCCCUGGGGGAAGAUAGAGUGGAAAGGAGACUGGAGUGACAGCUCGAGUAUGUGGGACCUACUGAGCCCCAAGGAGAAGAUUCUGCUGCUGAGAAAAGAUGAUGAUGGAGAAUUCUGGAUGUCACUGCAGGACUUUAAAGCACAUUUCAUGCUUCUGGUCAUCUGUAAACUGAGCCCAGGCCUGCUGACUCAGGAGGUGGGCCAGAAGUGGUCAUACACCAUGCUGGAGGGGAGAUGGGAGAAUGGGAGGACUGCUGGUGGCCAGAUGAAGUCGCCCCGAGACACAUUUUGGAAGAACCCACAGUUCCUGCUGUCAGUCUGGAGGCCCCAGGAGGGCAGGAGGUCCCAGUUGCUCUGCAGCGUGCUGGUAUCCUUGCUCCAGAAGCCCAGACACAGGCACCGGAACCGGAAGCCUCACCUAGCCAUUGGCUUCUACCUCUUCAGGGUGAACCAGAGCUUUGAUGCCCAGAAGAAACUGCCCUCUGAGUUCUUCUGGAAAAAUGCUUCCCUGAGUUGCCGUGCGACGUUUUUCACAGAGAAGGAAGUGAGCCGGGAACUGUGGCUGGAGCCAGGGACGUACGUGAUCGUACCCUGCACAUCUGAGGCCUGCCAGGAGUCUGAGUUCGUCCUCAGAGUCUUCUCCAGGAAGCACGUCUUUUAUGAAAUCGGCAGCAAUUCCAGAGUCAUCUUCUCUAAGGAAAUUGUAGACCAAAGUGAAGGGAAGGAUGAAUUCUUCACCAAACUCUUUGAAAAGUAUCCAGAAAUAAACGCAAUCCAACUGCAGAAUAUCCUGAACCACAUGCCCUGGUCAGGUCUAGGAAGCAAACAGCCUCUCUUCAGUCUUGAGGCCUGUCAGGGAAUCCUGGCCCUGCUGGAUCUUAACGCAUCCGGCACUGUGAGUAUCCAGGAAUUCAGGGACCUGUGGAAGCAGCUGAUGUUCUAUCAGGAGGUUUUCCACAAGCAAGACACUAACCGGUCAGGAUCCCUGAAUUGGGCCCAACUGCGGGCUGCCAUGAGGGAGGCAGGAAUCAUGCUCAGUGAUGACGUCUGCCAGCUGAUGCUUAUCCGCUACGGCGGCCCCGACCUCCAGAUGGACUUCGUCAGCUUUGUCCACUUGAUGCUGCGUGUGGAGAACAUGGAGGAUGUCUUCCAAAACUUGACCCAAGACGGCAAAGGGAUAUACCUCCAGAAGCCAGAGGUUGCAUGGAUUUACUGAGCACCUUCUAUGGGCCAGAUGUGGUGUUAGAUGGUGUUUGCUGCAUAGACAUUGGAGUCUGGAGUUGAAUCAUCUGCCCUUUCUUUCUCAAACAUUCUCUGGGACUUCCCUGGCAGGCCAGUGGUGGCUAAUGAUGGCUCUGUACUGCUGAGAAGGCUGGAAGCUCACUGAUCCUCACUGAGGACUCUGCAUAUGGACCAAGGGUGGCCUUUAGGUGAGACCAACCCACGUUCAACCCACCUACAAUUCUUCAGGACUGUGUCUCCAGCUAUCACCUUCUCAUCUGGGAGGAUGGGCAGCAUACAAAAAGAGAAGUGAGGGAGUAAAGAUUGCCUUGGGGUUGUCAAGACCAGCUCUUUUCCACAGUGACCACAACCACAAGCAGAGACGUGGCCUGAGUUGACUCUGGGUUGGUGUGCUUGUCUUUGUAUGAUACUGCCUCCAUGGGUGUCCAACUUAAAUGACCUUAGACAUGCUAUGUCAUCAUAUUUGGGGUAAGAGUCUAGGUUUCAAGAUCUGAAGAGGGAAUGAUAUGUUUAUAGACAUAUGUAAAUUGGCAUCUAUAAACUGGUAGCAGCAUAGGCUAAGUUUUAACUAUCUGGGGGUGGAGUAGACCCAUAUUGCACUUUCAAGAGUGCAGAAAUAAUACAAUUGGCAAGGUUUGGGGGGGAUGGGCUGGCUCUGGCUUCUGAGGUCACUGAGUGAUCUUCUGCUAACAAUAUCUCCAGAUCGUUGGAUUUGGUGUGUACCAGUAGAUUUGGUGGGCUGCCGUCUCGGGUCGCACAGAGUCGGACAUGACUGAAGCGACUUAGCAGCAGCAGCAGCAGCAGCAACAGUAGAUUUGAAACACCCAGCUUCUUAAAGGGCUUCCUGCAUAUGAUGGGUGUCAGUCUGUUUACCUGACCUAUGGGCUAUCAGGUCUACUUCAAAGAAAAAUAACAAAUCCAUGCUACAUCAUAGAAUUAAUCAGUAAAUGGUCAGUAUAUCUGUUUUUUUUUUUUUUUUUAAAACUAUGUUCAUACCUCAUUUUCAUGGGAUCCCUACCAACCCAGAACCCAGAUGGAAAACCAGAGCAUUGGCCAUUUUCCAAGGCCAUACAUUCUAUUUAUAAGUUAGAAACCUACAGCCAUUUGUUAAAAUUCUAUUUAUUAUUCAUUUACAAACUGUUCUAACCAAUGUGACUGCCUGGUUUCCGGGCCCAUAGCAGACUAGAGGAGGAGACUGAAAGCGGGGGAUCAAAGGGUGUCUUUUGGCAGAACUAAAGGAAAUUUGACAGCCUGGUAGAUGGGCAGUAUGGGAGAAGGAGGGAGCACUUUCAAAGCAUGGCUCAGGGAGUAGAAAAGCAUUUUAUUUAGAAAAACCUUUAUUUAUUCCAAAUGAUGAAAAAUACAAUGGUUUGUCAUAAAAUGACCUGUAUACUACUACUUGAGGUAUUACUGAUUUUAUAAAUAGUGAUCCUGUAUUUAUAUUCUUUUAAAGAGUUUUAUGUCUGUUUAUUUAUCAAUAUCUCUAUCUUCGGAUUCUGCCAUUGUAAAUAUUUUGUUUAAUUAAAUUGUUAUUGCUUUGCA